GUUGUGUUCAUUAUCAGUUAGAGCCCCUCCUCAUUCUUUUCUUCUUCUUUGGUGCAAUACUAUAAAUACAGUGUACCCCUUUUGCCUCUCCCCUUUUUCUACAAUUCCCCUGUGGGAGAGGUGGGUGUCAUUUCUUUCCAGCACCUUAAAGCACACAUAAUUCAUAUUUAACCACCCUGAUGUUUAUGAUUGCGAUUUUAAUUCAGUUAUUGUCAUUAUUGAGCCUGUUUUUGUAAGAUGUUAUAAGUGUGUAGUAUGUGUGUGUCAUAAAUGUGUUUUAGGCGCCAUAAAUGAUAGCAUGAAUAUGUAUUCCUUGCUAGCUUGGGAGCUGUGGUGGGUUGAGCUAAUCCUCUUCCCCACUGUCUGUAUUUGGUCGUAGGAGCUGGAGUGGGCAAAUUAUUUACUUGGAGGUCUUUCUUUCUUUUACCUUUUUUAUCAGACACAACGCAGAAUCACACCGGUUACACUUGGUGCCGCUGACCCGUCACAUCGCCAAUCCGCGAUCCACCCCUCCUCCUUCUGCUGCCGCUGUUUUCCCGCCUCCUCUCUGCAGCUGUGUGCCAGAAUCCUGUGCCCUGCGCUUUGACUCACAGGUCAAAGCGCAGGGCACAGGAUUCUGUGUGAUCCUGUGUGAUCGAUGCCCCGUAAUUUGGCUUGCAGGCAUCUCUGUCACGUGUGAACUUAAAGGGCAAAUACGUAGGUGAUCAUUUCUGUCACUGUUUCAUAUUGUUGCCUCAAAUUAUACAGGCACGGAUUGUAAUUUUUUUUCUCUAUUGAUAUUGGCUUUUACAGCCUGUUUUAAUUGAGAGGAGAAAACAACAUUUUAUUUUCUAUGGUGUUUUGAUUCUUUGAUGUUUUUUUUUCUUCUCCCCACAUUUCAUUGUUUUGUGAAGUUUUGCAUAAUUGUGUGUGGGGGUUAGGCUCGUUUUUUUUUUUGCUGUUGAACAGUGAUAUCUCACUUGGGCCAACAUGUUAAGUGAGGAAACUGUGGAUAGCGAUUUGCCUGAUCUGUUCUCUGCGGGGAGUAAUAUGACCUUUGGUUUGGGGAGGGGUCAUCAGAUUGCUCCAAAGUUUUUUGGGAGGGGUAGGCCAGUAGUCCCGGGUAUUGGUGCCCACACUGUAGACCAGCCAGUGAUGCACUCACCAUUAAUGCCAGCAGCUAGCUCCACACCAGCUGCUUGCGAACGCCAAACACACACCCAGGCUGUCACUAGUGACAUGUUGAGCAGCUUGAUCACUGACUUAGCAAA
ensembl:lncRNA